rnacentral:rRNA from 1 species
GUGCCAGCAGCCGCGGUAAUACGUAGGGUGCGAGCGUUGUCCGGAAUUACUGGGCGUAAAGAGCUCGUAGGCGGUUUGUCGCGUCGUCUGUGAAAUCCUCCAGCUUAACUGGGGGCGUGCAGGCGAUACGGGCAGACUUGAGUACUACAGGGGAGACUGGAAUUCCUGGUGUAGAGGUGAAAUGCGCAGAUAUCAGGAGGAACACCGGUGGCGAAGGCGGGUCUCUGGGCAGUAACUGACGCUGAGGCGCGAAAGCAUGGGUAGCGAACAGGAUUAGAUACCCUCGUAGUCC